UGUACAUAGACCUGUGAAGGGUGUGGCCUAGUGGUGGGCCCCACAUCGCCAUUUACAUGUAGAACAACUCUCCCCUUGUUUCUAAAUUGAAUGGCUAAGUUUAAUCUUGUUGAUUUAAAUGAUCCAGGUGGGAAAUGUAAAUCUUACCUUUAGAUAAGUGCUUCCCAUCUUGAUGUUUGAAUCUGGCAGCUAGCCUAUAAGGACGGCUAAUAUGGCCAUGUGAUGUUCCCCUUCAGACUAUUAUCUUGUUAGUGGGAGGAGGGGUGCUCGCCAUUACGUAUUUCAUCUUUGAAUGGGGAUGAAUUAUGGGAAGCUUUGUUAGUCUCCCCUCUGUCCACUAGCCUCCUUCCAUCCUCUCCUUCCCCAGUUAUCCAUAGGGCAGAUAACCCUGUAAUAAGUAUACUGGCAAGAUGAUGGGGGAUUGAAUGGGAUUUGUCAACCUUUGUUUUAUAGUUGAAUCAGUAUCUUAUUGCUUAGACAGAUUGAUAGCUGAUGUAGUAGGAAAGGGUUCUAUCCAGUUGUUUUAGGGCAGGUAAUAGGAAUUGUUGUGUGUUUUAGAGCAGGUAAUAGGAAUUGUUGUGUGUUUUAGAGCAGGUAAUAGGAAUUGUUGUGUGUUUUGGAGCAGGUAAUAGGAAUUGUUGUGUGUUUUGGAGCAGGUAAUAGGAAUUGUUGUGUGGUUUAGAGCAGGUAAUAGGAAUUGUUGUGUGGUUUAGAGCAGGUAAUAGGAAUUGUUGUGUGGUUUAGAGCAGGUAAUAGGAAUGGUUGUGUGGUUUAGAGCAGGUAACAGGAAUGGUUGUGUGUUUUAGAGCAGGUAACAGGAAUGGUUGUGUGUUUUAGAGCAGGUAACAGGAAUGGUUGUGUGUUUUAGAGCAGGUAAUAGGAAUGGUUGUGUGUUUUAGAGCAGGUAAUAGGAAUUGUUGUGUGUUUUAGAGCAGGUAAUAGGAAUUGUUGUGUGGUUUUAGAGCAGGUAAUAGGAAUUGUUGUGUGGUUUUAGAGCAGGUAAUAGGAAUUGUUGUGUGUUUUGGAGCAGGUAAUAGGAAUUGUUGUGUGUUUUGGAGCAGGUAAUAGGAAUUGUUGUGUGGUUUAGAGCAGGUAAUGGGAAUUGUUGUGUGGUUUAGAGCAGGUAAUAGGAAUUGUUGUGUGGUUUAGAGCAGGUAAUAGGAAUGGUUGUGUGGUUUAGAGCAGGUAAUAGGAAUGGUUGUGUGGUUUAGAGCAGGUAACAGGAAUGGUUGUGUGUUUUAGAGCAGGUAACAGGAAUGGUUGUGUGUUUUAGAGCAGGUAACAGGAAUGGUUGUGUGUUUUAGAGCAGGUAACAGGAAUGGUUGUGUGUUUUAGAGCAGGUGAUAGGAAUUGUUCUGUGUGUUUUAGGGCAGGUGAUAGGAAUUGUUCAGUGUGUUUUAGGGCAGGUGAUAGGAAUUGUUCUGUGUGUUUUAGGGCAGGUAAUAGGAAUUGUUCUGUGUGUUUUAGGGCAGGUGAUAGGAAUUGUUUUGUGUGGUCGUUAUAUUAUUGAUUAUCAUUAACUGAUUGAUGGUAUCAUUGUGCUUUCACAAUGCCCUCUCUCUCUCUCUCUCU